rnacentral:tRNA from 1 species
GGGAAGAUGGCUCAAUGGUAGAGUGCUUGCCUUGCAUGCAUGAGGCCCUGGGUUCGAUUCCUCAGUACCA